CAAUAGCGUAUAUUAAAGUUGUUGCAGUUAAAACGCUCGUAGUCGGAUUUCGGGGCGGUCUUGCCGGUCUGCCGAUGGGUAUGCACUGGUGAGAGCGUCCUUUUUUCCGGAGACUGGCCCUACUCUUAGCUGAGCGGGGUCGGGAGUCGGAUCGUUUACUUUGAAAAAAUCAGAGUGUUUCAAGCAGGCAGUUUGCUCUUGCAUGGAUUAGCAUGGGAUAAUGAAAUAGGACUUUGGUGCUAUUUUGUUGGUUUCGAACACCAAAGUAAUGAUUAACAGGGACAGUCAGGGGCACUCGUAUUCCGCCGAGAGAGGUGAAAUUCUCAGACCAGCGGAAGACGAACCACUGCGAAAGCAUUUGCCAGGGAUGUUUUCACUGA
rnacentral:rRNA from 1 species